UGUUUGGAGGAAAUCCUACAUACAGGGGCAGGUGUCACUUAAAAAAGGAGACACCUCAGCUUGGAGUCAUGUGCAACGCACAUGACCCAUUUAGCUAUGGAAUGGCUGUUAACCCUAACAGUGUUAGCCUCUUUCUUCUCAAACACACGUUCAGCCUCUUUCUUCUUCUCAAACACACCCACACAACCUCACGCCUCUCUCUCACAGCCUCAACCUUUGUUUUCUGAGCAAACUCAGACUGGCAAGAGAAUCCGGUACAGCUAUCCAGUACAGCCCUUCUCUCUCUCUCCUCAAACUCCUCAAACCCGUGUCUCAACCUGAGGUUUUGAGGUUCUGACCGGCGAGAGCUUGUGAGGCGGAAUGGACGGCGGCUAUAUGCAGCAACAGCCGCCGAUCUCACCGGACCAACUGGACAGCCCUCCUCUUCACCUGCUUCCCCCUUCGCUGAUUCCAACCCAUUUAGUUUCUCACUCAUCUAAUGCCGCUCCCAUAAAUUUGCCGCCAAGGACCACCGCUCCCACUGCUCCUACCACUCCAUCGUGUCUCAGCAUUCUCCCUGACAAUGAGAAAUGCAGUUAUUCUCAAUUUGUUCAGGAAGAAGCACAAGUAAAACCUAUUGAUGGUAGUCCAAACACUCCCAGUAAACACAAUAUGGAAAUUAAGGCACCGAUGAUUGGAAUGAAAUUUGAUUGUGAUGAUAGUGCAUAUGAGUUUUACAAACAAUAUGCUCAUAGAAUGGGCUUCAGUGUAAGGAAACAGUAUGUUAGGCGAGGAAGUGCUGGACAUGUUAAGAGGAGAACAUUUUGUUGUUCAAAAGAAGGUGAACGAGCUAUUGACAAACGUCGUGAACAGGUAUCUUUUCAUCACCCAAUUUCACAAAUUGGUUGUUUAGCACAAAUGACUUGUCAACUUCAAAAGGAUGGUAUGUUAGAAGUUGUUUCUUUUCAUGAACAACAUAAUCAUGAGUUUGCUCCUUCUCCAAUGAAACACAUGUUAAGAUCAAAUAGGAAAAUUACACUUGCCCAACAAGCUUUUGCGGAUGAUGCAGAAAAAUCUGGGGUAUCAAUAAAACAAACCAUAGAUUUGUUGAGCAUGCAAGUUGGUGGUUAUGAAAAUCUUGGGUUUUUGAAUGUUGACUAUAAAAAUCAUGUAAAUUCCAAGAGGAGAGAGGCUUUAAAGAGAGGAGAUGGUCGUGCUGUAAUGGAUCACUUUAGAAAGAUGCAAUUAGAAGAUCCAUCUUAUUUUUAUUCUAUACAACUUGAUGAUGAUAAUCAAAUUUUGAAUAUUUUUUGGGCUGAUUCUAGAUCUAUAGUUGAUUAUGGAUACUUUGGGGAUGUUGUAUGUUUUGACACCACUUAUCGAACAAAUUCAUAUGGUCGACCCUUUGCUCCAUUUAUUGGGGUUAAUCAUCAUAAACAAUCAAUUGUUUUUGGUGCAGCUUUACUUUAUGAUGAAACUAUAAUGUCAUUCAAGUGGUUGUUUGAAACUUUUUUGAGUGCAAUGUCAGGAAAACAACCAAAAACUAUAUUUACAGAUCAAUCUGCUGCAAUGGCUAAUGCAAUAGAAGAUGUGUUUCCUGAAUCAAAUCACCGUCUAUGUGUGUGGCAUAUUUAUCAGAAUGCUGCUAAGCGUCUACAUCAUAUAUUUAAUUCAUCAAACCAAUUUCGAAAUGAUUUUAGUAAUUGUGUGUAUGAUUUUGAAGAUGAAAAUGAAUGGAUGGUUGCUUGGAAUGACAUGCUUGAGACAUAUGAUCUAACUGAUAAUCCAUGGUUGCGUGAAAUGUUUGAUGUGAAAGAGAAAUGGUGUAUGGUAUACGGUAGACAUAUGUUCACUGCUGAUAUGAAAAGCACUCAACGCAGUGAGUCAAUGAAUAGUGUGCUAAAGAAAUACUUGAAACGAAAACAUGGUCUUUUGCAAUUUUUUGGACAUUACUCUAGAGUAUUGUUUGAUAAGCGAAGUCAAGAACUACAAGCAAAGUCCAAAAUGAGACAAACAACACCAGUUUUACUAUUUGAUUUUGAGAUGUUGAGACAUGCUGCAAAGUUGUACACUCCAGAAAUAUUUAAAAUGUUUCAAGAUGAAUAUGUGAAGAUUGUGGAUUGUACUAUUUACAAGGCUAGUAAAUCUGAUUCUAUCACAGAAUACAGAGUGAAAUAUCGAAACAAAACUCAAGAGCAUUUAGUCAAAUAUGAAGCCUCAACAACGACAGUCCAAUGCAGUUGCAUGAAGUUUAGUUUUUUGGGAAUUCUAUGUUCCCAUGCUUUGAAAGUUCUUGACAAGAAAAAUGUUAAGAGAAUUCCACCUCAUUAUGUAUUGAAAAGAUGGACACAAGAUGCAAAGGCUGGUUCUAUCAAGGACUAUCGUGGCAUUGAUGUUAAAGGUAGUGCUCGAGAGUCAGUGGGAAAGCGUCUUUCUCACUUGAGUCACAAAUGCCUUCAAAUUAACACAUUUGCAGCAGAGAGAGAGAUGAUGUAUGAACAUGUUGAUAAAUGUUUUGACAAAUUAUUGCAGGAUUUGCAAGAAAUGAGAAUUAAAUGUUGUUUGUCCUCUAUGGAGGGUGAGAUCCAUGGUGAAGUUGCUCCCAAGAAUGUUUCACAAGAUGACGGUGGAUUUGAGUCACAUGUGGACAUUUCUCAAGGCAUAUGUGGGAUCAAAACAAAACCUACUGUAGGUCGUCCAAGAGGAAGGUUGAAAAGUUCAUUAGAAAGGACAAAAAAAAAUCUCAAAGUAAGAAGGAUCAAUCCAAAAAGACUUGUGGAGCAAGACAAUUUCAAUCAUGUGGUGGCCUAAAUAGAGUUGAUUCCUCAGUUAAUAUUAAUUCUUACAAAGAACAUAGUAAUGUUGAACAACCAUCACAAUUAGUAGAUAACAUAACUCAGGAAUCUUUCAGUUGUAGUAAUUUGGUUGGACAAGACAAUGUUGUUGGGUUCAAUGGUUUGAAUCAGGAAUUUUUUGAUUGUGAAUUUUUGGUCGGACAAGAUCAUAUUGGGUUAUAUGGCUUGAAUCAGGCUUCAGUAGAUCCUGAUAUUGACAACCUUUGAAAAACACCAUAUUGGCUAUUUUCGUUGUGUUUUGCACAGUUUUUGGACAAUAUAUUGGCUGUUAUAUAACAUCUAGUGGACAGAACUUUGACAGUAUUUUUUGGACAGCACAUUUGACUUCGACAGAUUUUUGGAAA